GUCAGGAUGGCCGAGUGGUUAAGGCGGUAGACUUUUACCCUAUGGGAUCGUGGGUUCGAAUCCCACACCUGACA